CAGAAGAGGCUACAACAUCAACAGAAGGCAGUGGCACAUCGGGAACUGGAUUCAGAACUGAGGCCACUACUUCCACAGAAGGAAGUGGGACUACCCAAGCAGGACUUGUAGGAGGUACCACAACACUUUCACCUGGAGCCAGCAGCAGUUCACAGAAAACCACGCCAGGUA